rnacentral:rRNA from 1 species
UACAGAGGUGGCUAGCGUUAUUCGGAAUUAUUGGGCGUAAAGGGCGCGUAGGCGGCCUGAUGUGUCCACGGUGAAAUCCCUCGGCUCAACCGAGGAACUGCCGCGGAAACUGUCGGGCUCGAGGCCGGGGAGAGGGUGGUGGAAUUCCCAGUGUAGCGGUGAAAUGCGUAGAUAUUGGGAGGAACACCGGUGGCGAAGGCGGCCACCUGGACCGGUUCUGACGCUGAGGCGCGAAAGCCAGGGGAGCAAAACGGGG